rnacentral:lncRNA from 12 species
GCUGUGAAGGCUGAAUACUAAAGACCAUCUUUACCGGUUUCUGAAAGGGCCUGCAUCACUCUGAAGGGUGAGCAAGAUGAGGCCAUGUUGAAAGGGUCUUAAAGAAGCUAGGGAGCUGGGUUAGCAUCUCACUUUGCUGAGAGCUGUACCAGAGUCUGGACGUAGACACCCUUGUUGUAUUUUACAGAUCUCAGAUCCGGAGCUAAGUGAGGAAAGCAGCCCCCCAACCACGGGAGGCGGACAAGAAUGAACCAGAAAGGCAUGGCUGAAGGACCUGAGGCUACCGUGAUCUUUGCAAGGAGCCAGAGACAUGGAAUGGUGUCUCUUCCCUGGGCUAGAUGACAGGAAGCCCCAGCUGAGUGACUUUGAACAAUGCCGAUACGGAACAUAACUACAGAAGGCAGCCCUUGAAGUCCCCACAGAGAAGGCUGCAGACCAGGGUCCUUUGUAGGAGUAAGCCAUUCUUUUCCAAAAUUAUGCAUUUUUUUCCCUCAAAGCAAUAACUCCAGGCACAGUCCUCAAAGCAAAUAGUUGUGUUACAGUAGAGGCAUGUACAGCCAAUUUUUCUAUCUGCUUGUCAAGCACAUUUUAAAACUUUGGCUGUCAAUGGUGGGCCUUCCAUGGAGCUCAGAACUCUAAGUCUCUACCCCAGGCUUCUGGGCUUGCAUUCCUAUGUGGUGUUAAUACCCUGAGAAUCAGCCGACCACCAAAUGUUGGCUAUGGGAAGAACUGAGCUUCAGUGGGCACAUACUUAACAUUGCCACACACAUUUUCUUCUCAAUUCUUUUUUUCAGUACAGUUUAGUGUUACUUAGGAAUCAGCUAAAUCUC